CAUACUGCUGCUAUUUACCUGACAACAUGGGUUUAGUGAAGCUGCACAGAAUUUCACAGUCUCUGACACAUACAUCGGAUACAGGCAGAGCAAUGAAGGAAAUAAUGUGAAAGCAAACUGUUCAGUUCAAGCCAAAAAGACUAAUGGAAAUAGUAAAAAUAGUAAAGAUGCGAAAGCAAGACCUACAGAAAUAAAUAUCUGAGAUGGGAACUUGGAGGAAAGGUUCACUGCAGCUGCAGGCACGCCUGGCUGAGUGUCAGUAUGGGUUAAUUUGCACUGUGACAGAUGUCUUGGGAACAGACAGAGGCUGAAGAAAAGAGCCAGUGUCCCUGGGCCAGGUCUGCUCAUGGAGCUGAGCCACUCUCAGGUGUCCUUGGAGCAUCACUGAUUUACUGCAGCUGUAGCUUUGGCGCUUGUGUUUAAGGAUGAUUAUGCAAUCCUCAACCUUUGGGUUUUUUAAUCUUUGGUAAUACAAAAAGCCUCAACCUCCUCCUGUCAGCACAAAUACAAUUUUGAUUGACUGACCCUGUACUACUUGAUCUGGUUCAUCCACUUCAGCUGGUCUUGUUGCACCUCUGGCUCUCCCUUUGAACCCAAUUUUCACUUGUUUUACUGUGACCAUCUCUUGCUGGGCUUCUUGGAGCUCCUGCCAGCUGCCAUGCUCAGGUGUCUCUAGUUCCCCCCUCCCAGCUCCUCCUGCACCAGGACUGCUCCUAAAUACCCGCCCUUGCUGCCCUAAAAGGUGGUUUCACUAUCUCCUUGUUGGGGCUGGAGAAGUCUCAAGGAUGUCCACAACUGUUAAAGCAUCCCUUGUCAAAGGACAGAGCAGCAAAGUGGUUUCUGCACUCUGGACUUGACUCUGAACUUGUGAGAGGGUUACUACUGUUGUUUGACUCCAGAUGUCCUAGAAGUCAGAAGUCAGAGACAGACAUUACGCUUCAGAGGAAGAGGGUUUACCUAAUUGCAUUGCUCCACUGCACAGAGCCAAAUAAUGGCCUCUCACCACAGUGAUUUUGUGGGAAAUGACAAAGGGACAUCAGCCUGGCAUGAAAACUCGUGAGCAAGAGGAGGGCAGCCAGAGAAAAGCAAUGGAGGGAAAAGCAAUGGAGGUAAAGACAGAAGGAAGAGGAAUGGACAUUUCCACUUCAGUAGGAUGUUGCAGGUGUGGAAGUGAGAACAAAGGCAACGACACUUCGCUCUCUUCAAGACUGACUUCUGCAAAGUGUUUGUGUCCCAAUUGACACUGCGGCCACUGGGACCACCAGGCUCCAAAGCUCACCUCUGAAAUGAAAAUCUCCCAGUAUCUUCCCACAGACCACAGAACAAUUUUCUUGUUGUGCUCACUUUAUGGAGGGGUUGUGAAGAGGCGUGGGAGGAUUUUCAGCUUUUAAGUGAUUUGUACAAUGUCUUCACUACAAAACAGAGAGCUUUACAUUAAAUAAAACCUAUGGGAGUCAAGGGAGGUUUGCUUAGUCUCCUGUAUAAGACAGUUUGUUGAAUGCUGCAUAAAAAUAUAUAAUUCUUUUUGUGCUGGUGGAGAUUCAGAGUGGACUGUCACUGCUGUAAAUCAGUGGAUUUGAUAAGAUCUUCCCUCUGUGAAAUGGAGUGAUCUUCUCUGGCAGAAGAAUGUGAUAAAUACACCUGUCCAUGCCCACAAGUGAGACACAAGUACGCAGGACAAAAGCUACAUGUAUGAGACACAGGCAGAACAUCCCUCCUCAUCUGUGCUACUGCAGGGCAGGAUGUAUAAGGGACUUAGAAUCUUUGAGUGGCUUCAUUUGCACAGUACGGAAUCUUUAGGUCCUGGAAAGAGCACACUGCAAUGGAGGAGAGAGAGCUGCAAGCUGACAUAACCAGCCAGUACCUACGUCCCAUAUUUUGACAUCAAUUUUCACCCAGAAUAGAGGAAAAACCCAAAAGCUGAAGUCUUCUAUAAGCCCCCUGCCACUGCUGGACCACUGCUCUGAUUCAGUGAGAGCAGUCCACGAGGGAACACAAGAGGCCUGGAGGGGCAGGGGUGUUAACUUAGAGCCAGAGUUCAGAGUGGUGCACUUGGAUUAUUUUCACAAACCAACUGUGUUGAUUUGGCAGAAAUUUCCUUUUUCUCUGGGUGAUUUUCAAUGAGAAAAAUACUGCUGGGCUUCAAGCCUUGCUGAAUUGCUCAUGGGAAUGAGUGCUGUUAGAGUCCAGCAACUGGUCCAGGAAGCUGAGCUAAGCAGCCAACACCAGCUUUCUUGCUCAGAUGGUUAGGUAGAUGUUUCAAGAGCUGGAGGACUACAGACUCAGCCUUCAUCCCACAUUCACUUGUGUGUUUGUGAUUUAUCUAGCAAAUCUUUGUGGGCUCUGGGGUACAGUUUUAUUAAAAAAUCCUUUUUCCUUAACACAGGAGGAUGGUUACAAAACAUACUGAAAUUUGGUUUUCCACUCUUUAGGGUUUCCAGAACUUCAUGCUCAUCUAUCUUAUGUUAUUUUCCUUUCUAUUUGUGGUUUUGAGGUCAUGGCUCUAGAAAUGUUAACUCUUCAAGUGAAGUUCAGAGCCAAACCCAAAUUCUUCUUGGAGAAAAUACCAAAAUUUCUACUGGUGCCUCACAGCUGAAAAACAUGUAAAUUAAUACACAGCAAUAGAUCUAUCUCUCUGAUCAAAAGGUACCUCAGCAAAGCUAUGCACUCAUGGAAAAUGCUGUAUGAUAGUGUUGGGUGGAUAGUGCAAACAAACACAAACUUUCCCACAAAUAUUUGCUUGUCUCAAAUUAAUCUGCUUGGCUGUGCUCAUGGCUCUCCAGAGUUUAUUUUCCAGAAAUAUUCUAACAAGAGCUUGUUGGCAAGAACACACACAGAAACCGCUCAAGGUAAUAUCUGAGGAAACUAUUUUUGAAGGUCCAUUUUAAGGCCAGCAACCCUAAAACCCUACUAUUUUCAUGCCUUUGGUCUUAGCAGCCCUGAGGAAAGGGCAACAUUCCCCUUGGAGAAGGCCAGGAGAGGGGAUCUGACUGAGUCAUGAGUUAGAUCCUCGUUUCUCCCUCUGCACUGGGGAAGAGCUUGAUUAACCAGUGACAGCUGGAGAACUGAGACUGCAUUUCCUUAAGUGGAGGAGAAGGACUCUAGAAGUGCUCUUCACCCUCCCUGCCUUUGCAUUAUGUGAAUGCAUCUCUCUUCACCCCUGGAUGCAGAUGACAGCUCAGCACUGAAGUGUCGAGCAGUA